rnacentral:rRNA from 1 species
CUCAGGACGAACGCUGGCGGCGUGCUUAACACAUGCAAGUCGAGCGGAGAUUGCAUUUAUGUAAUCUUAGCGGCGGACGGGUGAGUAACGCGUAGGCAACCUGCCUUGCACAGAGGGAUAACACCGGGAAACUGGUGCUAAUACCACAUGAUAUCAUAACAAGGCAUCUUGAAAUGAUCAAAGGAUAAAUCCGGUGCAAGAUGGGCCUGCGUCCGAUUAGUUAGUUGGUGAGGUAACGGCUCACCAAGGCGACGAUCGGUAGCCGAACUGAGAGGUUGAUCGGCCACAUUGGAACUGAGACACGGCCCAGACUCCUACGGGAGGCAGCAGUGGGGAAUAUUGCGCAAUGGGGGGAACCCUGACGCAGCAACGCCGCGUGAAGGAAGAAGGCCUUCGGGUUGUAAACUUUUUUGAUUGGGGAAGAAAAAAAUGACGGUACCCAAGGAACAAGCCACGGCUAACUACGUGCCAGCAGCCGCGGUAAUACGUAGGUGGCGAGCGUUGUCCGGAAUUACUGGGUGUAAAGGGCGUGUAGGCGGGAUUGUAAGUCAGAUGUGAAAUUCCAGGGCUUAACUCUGGAGGUGCAUCUGAAACUAUAAUUCUUGAGUGCUGGAGAGGAAAGCGGAAUUCCUAGUGUAGCGGUGAAAUGCGUAGAUAUUAGGAAGAACACCAGUGGCGAAGGCGGCUUUCUGGACAGUAACUGACGCUGAGGCGCGAAAGCGUGGGGAGCAAACAGGAUUAGAUACCCUGGUAGUCCACGCUGUAAACGAUGGAUACUAGGUGUAGGAGGUAUCGACCCCUUCUGUGCCGGAGUUAACACAAUAAGUAUCCCACCUGGGGAGUACGGCCGCAAGGCUGAAACUCAAAGGAAUUGACGGGGGCCCGCACAAGCAGUGGAGUAUGUGGUUUAAUUCGAAGCAACGCGAAGAACCUUACCAGGGCUUGACAUCCCUCGGAUAACAUAGAGAUAUGUUAGUCCUUCGGGACGAGGAGACAGGUGGUGCAUGGUUGUCGUCAGCUCGUGUCGUGAGAUGUUGGGUUAAGUCCCGCAACGAGCGCAACCCCUAUUGUUAGUUGCCAUCAUUAAGUUGGGCACUCUAACGAGACUGCCGGUGACAAAUCGGAGGAAGGUGGGGACGACGUCAAAUCAUCAUGCCCCUUAUGUCCUGGGCUACACACGUACUACAAUGGUCACUACAAAGGGAAGCAAUACCGCAAGGAGGAGCAAAUCCCCAAAGGUGACCUCAGUUCGGAUUGUGGGCUGAACCCGCCCACAUGAAGUCGGAAUUGCUAGUAAUGGCAGGUCAGCAUACUGUCGUGAAUACGUUCCCGGGCCUUGUACACACCGCCCGUCACACCAUGAGAGUUUGCAACA